GCUGCUUGGCUUCUGGAAUGGUCAUAUUAAUUUGUUUUGGUUGUAGGGAGGGACUAUAGAUGGAUCAUCUCGUGCCUCAGCCAACAUGGACAGGGACAACAGCGAUGGCCAUUAAGUUGUGCGGUGCCAGGAAGUAUUUUGUGAAGCCAAAGUCUUUUGUUUAUCUACUAUGGCUAAUAGCAACGACCAGCAAGUUCGAAGGCCGUGCAUGUGUCAUGCUGGGUAUUUUGGUUGUGCGUGGGCUGCUGCAUAUUUAGAUUGUGAAGCAACAUAUGCAGAUUCCAUCGCGCUUCAAGACAUGUGUGCUAGUUGUGGAGUACCAGAUUGCUUAUUCCCUGCAGGCAUGCUUAUGCAGAAGUGGGUGCAUACUGCUAUCAAACUACAGCUUGCUACUUAUAGACUUCCUGGGUCAAGGAAGGUCAAUUUGUUGGCUAUCUUGUGCAGAAGUGGUUGUGUACUGCCAUGAGAUAGCAGCUAGCUAGCUGAAGUUGUGUUGGGAGAUAGAUAGCACCUAGUCGUGAGGUAGCACAAAACUUGUGCUGCCGGUUAGUUAUCUAACUAGAAGGCACUAAUUAUUAUAUAACUUUGUAUGAAUGAACAACUUGAAUGAUGUUCUAAGAUUAUAUAAUAUGUAUUACUUCAGUGUGGAUGAAUGCCUGUAUCAGUCCCUGUAAUAUUGUGUAUAAUCGCUAAUUACUUGCUAUGAACAGCGGUUAAAUAAUCAGUGAUUUUGUGUGUGUAAUUGACUGGAAAUAUUUCCCUGACGGAGGAAAACCGUCCGGAAUCUACAACCGUGACGGCAGACAAGCUGACGGGAAAGCCUAUUUCCAGGCCUGACGGUUGAGCUGCCGACGGAAAAAGUUGAAACUAUCCCUGACAGUGCGGUAACUGACGGUGAAAGUUUAAAUUUUCACUGACAGUACAACAGCCGACGGGAAAAGUUGAAACUAUCCCUGACGGGAUUCAUCCGUCAGAGAAAAUGUUCCUGACGGGAAGCCUGCCAACCGACGUUGUAGAUCUUUCCUGACGGUGGCAGCCGUCAGGAAACUGUUCGUGACGGUUUUCCGUCAGGGUGAACUGACUAUCCGUGACGUUUUUUCCUGACGGGUUAUCCCUGACGGUUACCGUCAGAGAUGACUUUCCGUGACGGUUUUCUCCACUUUCCCUGACGGAACCAGCCGUCAGGAAAAAAGUUGUCUGGCGUGGUGAAAGUACCAGCAAACAAUACGCAUUCGAAAAUAACAAUAACAUAAUUGUAAACCCUAAAUGGAAAACAAAAUGAAAAGAAAAAGAAAAAAGAAAAAAGUCUUUAGUCCCGGUUGGUAGCAACAACUGGGACUAAAAGUGAAGGCCAGAUGGCACACCCUGGCGCACCUUUUAGUCCCGGUUGCUGUUACCAACCGAGACUAAAGGUGGACCUUUAGUCCCGGUCCGCGGAACCAGGACUAAAGGUGGGACAUUUAGUCCCGAAACCUUAGCCCCGGUUCCGUAGCCGGACUAGAGGCCCUUACGGCCUUCCCUGUACUAGUGACUCACAAAAGCUUCCAACUAUUUCCAUCGGUUUGUUGCAGCAGUGACCCAAUUUUGGACCUGCUUUUCACGGUAUAGUUUCAGUGUCACACAAAUUAGCCCUCUCAUGUUUAUUGUGUUAGAUGAGAGCACCACAAAGAAUUUCUGUAGUGCAGCAAUUGUGGGUAGUAGUGAAUAGUAUUAGUCUACAAGUAAAACUAAGGAUUAGCCAAGACAAUCACUAUAAUAUACACAUCUUUUUCCUCAAAUAAUAAUAUACACAUCUCUACCUGCCAAGAAGUUCUCAAGAAACGCAUAUAGUUUCUAGUGGCAUUUGAGGGUUUGUUUUUUCUCCUGAAACAAUUAGACACCAAGCAUUUUUUGAAAUUCCUACCAAUUGUGGUUAUCCAAAACUCUAUAUAGUUAGUAAUAAACAAGUAUAUAUGUACAUGGCUAGGGAGCAGUAGAAGACAUCGUUGGUAAAUUUAUAAGAAAUGCAGUAUAUAUUUCGCAAAAAAUACAAAUACAUCUCGGUAAAUCAAGGACACGACCAGCAAUCUUUUUUUUUUUUGAGACGAAAGAAACCAAGACCAGCGAUCACGUACGACACGGUGAAAUGACUCAACCAUACUAAUAUAGCCUGCCCGAUAGACGAUAAUAACAGGGCUAUCUAUCUAGCUUUAUACUAGCUAGAAGUUUGGCAUGAACGACGACGCGGAGGAUAGCUAGAUGCGCGCGCAUCGAUCUUUCGAUCGAUCUCACAUGGUGCCCUCGAAGGUGAGGAGCUUCCACGUCUUGGACUCGGAGCCCGGGAUGCCCCACACGGUGGAGACGUAGCUGCCGGCGGUGCCGGUAUAGUUGGUCGCCGAGAGCACCAUCCAGUAGUUGUUGGCGCCGCCCCCCGCCGGCGAGGACCAGCACUUCGACGUGCUCAGGUAGUUCAUCGGGAUCAUGUGAGCGAGCCUGUACACGUUCACCGCGAACUUGCCCACCUGCUUGAUGAAGUCGCUGCUCACGUCCUCCUGCUUCGUGUACGACGGCGGCGGCGCCGGGUCGGCCACCACCACUGUCAGGGCCGUCGCCAAGAAGGCAACGAGUGCUAGCACAGCAACAAUCGCCGCCGAUUGCUUCUUCAUGACUGAUGAUUGGCGGCGAGCUGCUAGCAGCUGUGGGUACAUGCACUAAUAAAGCGGCUAGGGCUUGUACGUGUACGUACAGCUAGCGCGCUGUGCUAGCUAGGAGCUCUGUGAGCGAGCUGUGUUGGGAACUCGAUGUGUGGUGAUCUGGGAUGGCACACGGCACGCCCUCUAUAUAUAGCCGCCGUGUGCAGGUAGCCCGGCUGCCGGCCGCCGUGGUAGUGUAUAGAUUGCCAAAACCAGAAAGCUAGCCCGAGCAAUGCGCGUCAGCUGCAACCUCCUCCGUCAACCUUAAUAGUUUAUUUGACUGAUAAACUAUAGUAUAAAAUACUAUUGAUUAAUUUAUUGUGAGAGAAAAAUACUACUAAAUGACUAGUAAAUUUGGCUGAUAAACCCAAACCAGAGAACUUCUCCGGCCGACAUCAAGUGUGUGUACAUAGUACGUACUUGCAUUCGAGCUAAGCCAGCUGGUGGACAGGGGUACACGUGUUCUGUCUGAAGGAACGUGCGCGAAUCUCGGUGGAGGACGUACGUACUGUACGCGGGCGGGGCGCGCUCUCGUGCAUGGCAUGCGUUUAUGCAUGGGUGCUUGUGAUCGAGGACGUGGAGAUUGGCGCGGCCAGCUAGUUUAGUCUUGUGAUUUGCUGGUUGUUUGCUUCGGGGCAAGGCGUCGCGCAGAAUAACGAGAAGCCUCGCUAAUAGCUCCGGGCACGGUGCAUGCAGUGUGGCUGCCUCGCUGGAGUAGGAGAGCUAGCGCGCGGGCCGCCAGCCGAGAGCAUGCAUUCCAAUCCAACCACGGCGGUCAACAGGUGGGUAGCGCUCCAAAUUGGACGGCGCAUCGGCCGCGACGCCCGUGCCGGCCCGGCCGGUGGAGGAGCGGCGAUCGAUGAUGCUAGCUGCGCGCGGCGGAGGCUGGAGGGGAUCGGAGCUAGCUAGCUGGCCAUAUAUUGUCGCCGACACCGAUCGUCCACUGGUUCAGGUGUGGGAACGCACACGAAUUCCCUCAUGGCCCAUCCAAUUAAUUUACUGCUAGCAAAUAAAACUAGGCUCUCGCGCGCUUCACAUGCAUACAGAGGAGUCGUCGAGAGAGUACGACCUAGUACUGGUACUAUUUCUUUAGCUUAAUUGAAAGUCAAAAACUCGCACGUACCACUUGGCCUAGCCGCCGAUAUAUGCUCGAAUCAGAGUACAAGUACUACUUCUUUAGCUCAAUCGAAAGUCAACUCUCAACUCGCACGUACCACUUGGCGCCUAGGACCAUAUAUAUGUGCAAGAGUGACAGUGGUUUAAACUACCAAAUGUUUGCAUGCAUUUUGCCAGUGCAAAUGGUGAAUUUUCAUAGGCGUCACUCUGGAAACCGCCGAUACAAAAACAGAUCUAGUGUAAAUGUUUCUAUACUAGUAGUUGACUUACAUCAUAUAGCUGCCAGUUCAAAUAAUUUUCACAUGUGCUGGAGGCUGGAGCUAAGUUAACACUCCCAUGCAUGUUUUUCCAAGGGCGGCUAAAUAACACUAGAACAUCAUGCAUGCGCCCUUCGGGCGCCCUAUCAUGAUUUGAAGAACAAAAGCAAGUCCAUUCUCGAUAGACAUGGCUCCAUAAUUAGAUACAGUAAAGCUAAGAUGUUAGUCACAUAUUAAUAUAUAUAGUAAUUGCCACCAUCACCAUAGUGUCAGUAUCUACGAUCAAGCAUAUAUUAUCUGAAAAAAUGAUCAAGCAUAUAUCAUAUCAUACCAUUAGAAAAAUGACAAAUUAUGAAGCAAUGAUAUGGUUUGUAUGUCCACUAUAGCUCUCAUGGUUCUGUUCACACCCUUCAUUACAUUAACGGUGUUGUUGAACCAUACAUUACAUAACUAUUAGGUACAAUUUACAAUCAGGAAUUCACAACAAUCAAACACUUAAGCUAGUAGCUUAGAACGGCAAACUAUAUAGUUCGCAGCCAUGAGGUUUGCAAAAGACACAAAGUCGAUCAUCAUAGUGGCAAGUUCCCUUGAUGCUGAACAUCAGACGUCAAUCAGCAGUUGAGCAAGUACACACAGAAAAGCUAGGUGCAAUCAAUAGAGGCAAAAGAGAUGUGACCUUCCUCUUUAGGUGAUUAGGUACCAUGGACAGGUCUGAAAUGGAAAAAUAUGGCAUAACAUAUGAUGUGCAUAGAUUAUAACAUGGCAAUAAAGUUAUGGGCUAUUGGAACAUCUAGAUCAUAACUCUAAGCAAUUAAUCUAUCAUGUGAUUGCUCUCCCCUCUUUUGGAGUUUUAGUGAUUAAGUAUUUUCUCAAAACCAUUACUUACUAAGUAAAUAAAUAUUCAUGAUCCUGCACCUACAUGAUCUGCUUACUGUCUUGGUAGCAAAUGAAAAUAAGUAAAUAUUUCAAUGUGCAGUGAACAACACAGCUAACGAAGACAAAAUAAAAUCAGAAAAUGAUUAAUAUACUAAACUUUGCCUUGCAGAUUUGAAUUGCAUAUUAGCAUUAGCACACUAAUAAAUAGUAAUAUUGCAAUUUGCAGGUAUAGUGUUAUAGGUGCCAUAGUGUUGACACGGUUUUUGGCUCACUGAUAAUAUGUGCAAUAUUUGCUUUAAAUAAAUGUAAAUAGUAUAUAUGGCCAAAUUCCAUAUAAGAUAGAAACGAAUAAUGGAAGAAAUGAUAUCGUACACUCCAAAAUAUACAUGGGUGAAGAGGUAUAAUAAAUAUGUAUACAUGCUAUAUCCAAAUAUGCAUGAUGAGAAAGCGUAUAUGUGUAUACGGUUCCAAAUGAUUAAGAGUGUUGAUAGAAUAACCUAUCACACAAGUGACCUGGUGAUUAUUCAAAUAGAGAAAAGAAAAGAUAAUAACUUAUACAAAUAUAUAUGCACGUACGAAAUACGUUGGACGAUAUUCUCAAACGGUGCUACAGGAAUAAAUAAGUAUUAUUAUAUUUCUCUAACCUGUUGAUACUAAUCUUUAGCAUACCCGAAAUAUAUGGAAAUAUUUAUAUCAUAUUAAAUAAAAUGAUAUAGCUGAUCAAGUUUCAUUUAACUAUAUGAUAUAGGCAAAUAAGGGAUAAUACAAUAUCCCUAACAAAAAGGAGAAGAAAGAUAAAAAAAGAGGGGUACAUAUAUGUACAUAUGCAUGAACGUGCUAGUGUCUAGACAAACACGCUCUUUAUAUCGGCAAAGUAAGAGAACAACAAACUAAAAGUAUAGUGAGUAUAUGUUUUGUAUAUAGAUAUUCGUCUGGCCGUAAAAUAAUACAUACACUGCUCAUGCAUACACGUAUGGAUUAAAACAUGAUCAUGCAGCGUAUAGGAUGGUGGUGUGCCUAUCAUGUAGCCUUACGUACGCCAACCAGAAGAUAAACCUCCCUAUUUUCCUUAGAUUAACUAGCAAAAAUGCCCGUGCGUUGCAACAGGAGAAAAAACAAAGCUAUCAAAUCUAUAUCUAUAUCUCUAUUAUCUAAUUAUAUAUAUCUACCUAAUAAUAAAGAGGUAAAAUUUUAGUCUCUUUCUUUUGUCCAUCUAUUUUUUCUGUCUUCCUCUAACUACCAAAGAUGAAGAGUUUCUUUUAUCUGGACUUAUGUAUAUAACUCGUGCUCAUAUGAGUUAAAAUAACUUGCGUCUAAAUCAAUAUGGAGUAGAAAUCCUAAUAUAAAUAGAUUCCUCACGUAUUCUAAAUAGAACUCUUAAUAUUCAAAUAGAAAAUAAUAAGAAUUAUGUUCUUUAUUUUGUUGCGCUUUCUUUAUUUGGUUACAUGUCAAUUGGAGGAAAAAAAAUCGAAGUCCUAAUCUGUAGUUCCUUCUUAUAAUAAAAAGGCAAAAUUUCUGAUUAUUUUGGAUUUUGGUCUAGCCCAACUAUUCGCUUGUUUCGGUCUAAAAUUGGUUUAAACUCGUGUUAGGCUUCCGAGUUAGAUUCAAUUCAUAACUUUCCUUUUUUUUCCCUAACCUAAUUAGACCAGAAGUCCUCGUGCCAUAAACAGAAAAUAAACUAAAAAUAAUAGGAAAUCAGAUGUGAACGAGAGGAGCAUCGUUUAAUUAAUCUAGCUGGUAAACAUAUAAAGAUAUGGUGGACUGAAAUUUUUAUAAUUGUAUAUUAAGUAAAUUGGAAAAUUUUGAUGAGACGAAAAUUUUGAUCAAACGAAAAUUUUGAUUGAAAUUUUGCCUCUUUAGUACUCCCUCCGUCCCAAAUUAUAAGUCAUCCCAAGAAUCUUGGAGAGUCAAAGUUUUUCAAGUUUGACCAAAUUUAUAUAGCAAAAUAAUAACAUUUUUGGUACCAACCAAGUAUCAUUAGAUUCUUUGUUAGUUAUAUUUUCAUAGUGUACCUAUUUUAUGACAUAAAUCUUUAUAUUUCUCUCUAUAUUUUGGUUAAACUUGAAAAUGCUUUGACUCUCCAAGAUUCUUGGAGUGACUUAUAAAUAUGCCCGUGCGUUGCAACGGAAGAAAAACAUCAAAUGAUCUUAAAAAGUGAUGUAUAUUACAUAUCUAUUUAUAUUUAUCCUUUUAUAAAAUUUAAAGUUCAUAAUUUAUUUUAUUGAUAACCAUAACAUCUAUGGUAUUAGAUAGUUAAUAUUUACAAUAAUAUGUAGCUUGAAGACAUAUUUAUUUAAUAAUAAAAAUAGAAAUUUGUUAAACCUUAUCUCACUCUAAUAUUACCUUUUAAUAUACCUUAAUAUUAUAUUAAAACAUGAGAAGUUUGAUGCUAGCAUUAUUUAGGAUUGCUAUGAAAUAUGAAUCAAGCAUCACAUUAAAUAGGCUACUAGCAAAAUAAUAACAUUUUUGGUACCAACCAAGUAUCAUUAGAUUCUUUGUUAGUUAUAUUUUCAUAGUGUACCUAUUUUAUGACAUAAAUCUUUAUAUUUCUCUCUAUAUUUUGGUCAAACUUGAAAAUGCUUUGACUCUCCAAGAUUCUGAGUGACUUAUAAUUUGGAACGGAUGGAGUAUUAGAAUUAGAAGUAUAGAUAUACUCCUUGGAUCAUUGGAAAUAAGACAUAUUCUAGGAUAGUUUAUGGGGUAACUCAAAUAACGCAUGUAACCUUAACAAUAGAGAGAUUUUGUACUUAUACUAUAUUUUGAAUGUGCUAUAGACACUAAUGGCAAGUACGGAUGUGAUUGGGACAUUGGGAGAGUUAAAUAAUUUAUAGUAACUCAUAAUCUGAAAUAGAUUUUGAAUGCUUGGCUAAAAUUAGUAGCCAAAUUCUAUAUUUUAGUCAUUUUAUAAAAUAGAAAACUUUUUUAAAAACAGAGGUCUACAACAGCUUUGAUAUUCUAUCAAUUUUAUACUAAAAAGCAUAGGCAAGCAUCUCCAGCAAAGAAAAUAUAAUAAAAUUUAUGAUAUUUUUUAUUUACUGCAUAGAUCUACAUUUGUGGAGCUGAAUAAAAUUUGUUUUGUAAUUUUUAGAUUUAUCUAUGAAUUACUAUGUAUUUAUUAAUUGAUUUAAAUAAUAAAAGAAAAAUAAACUAAUAGGAUAAACACUUUGCAUCUAAGUCCCUAUAAUUUCUUUAUUCUCAAUGUCUGUAAUGUAUAAAAGAGAUUUUGCAUUGAAAACCUUAGAAAAACUUUUAUUUUUUUUUCUCUGGCAGCGUUGGAAGCCAACGAUAGAUAUACGGACGCGAGGCCGAUUCUGGUAGGGAGGGCAGAAAAAUUUUGGAGCAGACUGAAAUUUUCACAAUUUAGUAGUAGGGAUAGAUUACUUCAAUCUAGAUGAAGUGGCUCAUAAACCAUGGAGAGGGAGAGUCAUCAGGUCUUGACGCAUUCCAUGUUUUGACGGCGUCAGGCAACCUAGUCCAAGUCCAAAGGAAGAUUCAAACCUCCAUGAACUCCACGUCUGGAAAGAACCCCGUCGCAGCAGUCGCGCGUGAGGCCAUUCAAAUCAAGCGUACCAAGGUCAUUAGCGGAGGCAGAUUGAAUUAGAAGAGCGCCAAACAUCAUGGUAACUACUCCCGCCGUUUCAGCUCUGGACGAGAUUUCAAAAUAUAAAACCACCCGGCCGCUUGCUCUGUAAAUAGAGAGCUAGUACGAGCGUUCAAGUCCCCUGCUCUCCUGAUCGAAAGUGCCGCCAGGCUGCUGCUCCAUUGCCUCGCCGAAACAACUGCUGCCAAGCUGCCGCAGCGCCUCGCCAUUGACAAAUCCGAGCGCUCGUCCGGUCUCUGCUCAAGCCAACUCCAAAGCAAACACCAAAUAGAGGAGAGCAACAUCAUCCAAGAAAAAGAUCGCUCGGCAGGAACUUGUUGCCGCCGGUGGAGUACCGCCGCAAGGUGAGAUGCUUACAGGAGCAAUCAGCCAACACUUCUAAUCUCUCGUCUCUCUUCGCUUUCUGUUCUUCGGCUACUGCAUCGACAAGCUUCAUCGGCAACUUGACGGUUUUUGUUAAAUGGCCGGACCAUGCCGCUGCAGAUGAGCAGCGUGUAGGGGACUGACCACAGUAAAAGAUAAAAGGGACAAACAAGGUUGGCGCCCCGCGCCUGAAUUUGAUCUCUGGUAAAAUAUCGUUCGGCAAUGCUACGACCAUGCUAUGCACAUGGGUUGAGCCUUGUAAAAGGUCAGCUAGCAGUGCCAUGACAGCGCUAUGUGCAUGGGCUUUGUGCCCCAGCGAAGGUGUAAAAAUGCAGUAAAUAUACCAUGGUAAAAUUCAGGUUUAGAUGCGAUUUGGCUCCAUCCCGCGAUUAAAAUUUGGAUCGGACACACUUUGGCUCCACCCCGGUUAUGUUCAUGGUGAAAAUUUGGUUGGUGGCUCCAAUCCGGUUAAAGGUUCAUGAUACAAAAUUAGUGGACGCACUUUGGCUCCACCGGUUAUGAUAAAAUUGGUAUGGACACGAUUUGGCUCCAUAUCUAAAUAAGUCUGCAUAUGUUUUGGCCAUGGCCCCGCCGGCCCAUUUCCGUACUGUGCAUCAAAGAAAAUAGACAAAUUGCAUGCUGCGACUAUAAAAGAAGUUCGUGUGCUAAGUUAUGACAAAUCAAAGAAAUAGCUAUUUGUGCAUUAGAAAUUAUGUCAAAAGAGAAGUUAGUUAUAUAUUGCAUGUUGAGUCCAUGCAUAUCUUUCUUUGGUCGUGGCAGUUAGCGCCUUUGAUGCAAAUUUGAUUUAGCUAGCACUGACAUCCGUAUGCUAUAUUCAGUGCCGUGCAUUUCAUUGGUAGUUGCAAGAAAGAUUGAAGUUUGCAUCGCCAUGAGAUAAAUAAACUAGCUCUUUUAUAUGCCCGAACUGUCAAAGACUAUGCAUAUCCAGAAUUAGAAUAUGUAUGCAUACAUCAUGCACAUGUCUGGUCUACGUCAGCAAAGACAAAUAAUGAUAAAAAACGGUAUAGCUCAUACUCUACGCCUUAUCAAGUAUUACGGCCAAACAAAAAAAAUCCUGUUUGGGCACGUAAAAACCCAUGUUCAUAAAUCUUAUAUGCUACUGCAUCUUGCGUGAACGGUGAUGAUCAAACCGCUUAUACCAUAUAGACACAGUCAAUUUAGUCUUUGCAUCAAAAUCAACAUGGGUGCAUUCAUAUCUCAUAAAUUAUAUAAGAAUAAGAUGAAAUGCUUCAAAUUAAACUGGCCUUGUCAUGUUCAUCAUACCGAGCAUAGUUCCUCCAAAUUCCGUGCAUCAUGUAUAAAUAAAUAUUGCACCUUAGCUAUAUCCCAUUCAUAAAUCACCGGGCCUAGCUGAGUUGUAAACAAACCGCAUCAAAUUAAAUUAAAUUAAAUUGCAUAAUACGUGCUAAUCUGUGGCCAAAUACCAUGCUAGGAGCAUGCAUAUUAACUUUCAUAAAAUAAGGUCACUACAUGCAUCACGACCAGGUCCGGUGAUGCAACAUGCUCCCUCCGUCCCAAAAUAAGUGUCGUUUUCGCUUCCCGAGAAAUAACUUUAACUAAAUAUAUAGUAAAAAAUAUUAAUAUUUAUAAUACAUAAUUAAUAUCAUUGAGAAGAUCUUUAAGUCUAGUUUUUUAACAAAUUUAUUUAGAGAUAUAAAUAUUGCACGUAUUUUCUACAAAUCGAAUCAAACUUGUGGCACGAAAACCUAAAACGACACUCUUUUUAGGACGGAGGGAGUAUCUUUCUAGACCAUGGCAAAAUAGACGUCCUAGCUUAGCCCCAAAUAAAAUAUUGCAUCAUAUAUGCCAAAGCAUGUUAAUCCAUAAUCUUGCAUGUCUCCAAGUAAAUUACGUGCACGCAUGCAUGAUAAAAUGCACCAAAUAAAUGUUUAUUAUAUAAAUAAAUUAAUGUCCCUCCAUCGGCACGCAUACAUGUCAAAAUUCAUGUAACUAAAUGCAUAUAUGUCCACAAAGGGUCAUAUGUCGAAUUAUUAAAAUUUAACCACAUCAAGGCCUAAAUAAAUAAUGUGAUAUUCUCAAAAGUUUGCAUGGAUUAAACAUAUGCAUGUCGUUAUUAUGAGUUGCUAAAAAGCUAAACAUGCUAGUGACCAAUCAUACAAGGAAUAUAUAUUACCUGCUCAACAAAUGAAAUGUCAUGCUCAAAAGAAAUGACGGAUAUCAAGUUCAAGUUUAUGCCGGGCCUAUGCAUGCAUCCAUCCGCGACUACAAGACUGAAGAUUUUAUUUUCUUUUGUAGUUUGUAAUAGCAAGCCAUAUGAUGUAAUCUUUCUUCUUCAUGUACUCAUGUUGGAACUCUUAAUCAGAGGUGUUCUCUUCGGAGAUGUAAUUAACAUAAUUUUUAUAUAAAUAUAAGAAUUAUGGAAGUAUGGACUCGCAAUACCUGUUCUUUUCAUAUUGUCCCAUUUAAAUUUAUAUUUGUCUCUGCUGACGCGGAGGCGGGUCAUAGCCGCCCGUUUCCCCGCCUUCACAUAGAAACACAAACUACAUAUAUGCCAAAGAACAAAAAAUUUGGUCACAUAACUCAGAAGUGCUUUAUCUGAAUUUGAUGAAAGUUCACACAUCAAGUGAUACAUACUUAAACUGGCGCCGGCACUCCUGGAGUAUACAGAACAAUUACUUUCUUUAACAAAUGAAGUAUAUCCUGAAAGAAACAUCCCUUCAUGGUGUGCUGCAGAAGCACAAUGCAAAGCCAACCAUUUCACAAAUUACAUGACAUGGGUGGAACCAGCAAAGGGUUUUGAUAAAUUUCUAAACAAAAAUCCAAGUUAGUUUUUUUUGCUUGUUUGCAAGUAAAUCAGAUCUAAAUACAAAUCCUCCAGGACCAAGCGUAUCAUCAGUGUCAGAGAGAGCACAAGAAAACAACGGGUACAAGAUACAUGAUAAGUGAUUGCAGAACUGCAUAGCUGAGCGAAGCUGUUAAUGUAACAAACAAGGGAGCAAUGACUAUAUGGCAUCAUUGUUGAUUCCACUCUUCAAUGAGUAACAUUUCAACAUUGUAGCACUCUUCAUCUGCUAAUUUUAAUUUUAAUUUAGGAAUUAUCAUGAAAUCUUCCCACUUCUCUAAACCCUUUUCCCCACUACAUUCACUUGCUCCCACCAUUACCUGAAUCAACUAAGAAACGGAUAAGAAUUCCCCUUUCUCCACUACAUUCACUUGAUCACUAUUACUUGAACCAACUAAGAAAAGGAUAAGAAAUCAGGGAGUCUGUUUGUGAAUUGAGGAAUCCCCAAACCAAAACAAUUCACGUUACCUGAUGAGUCGGAUGAACACGCUGCAGCUCACAGUUGCCUACAGUAUCCACCACUCCAGCUUGCGUCAGAGCGCUCAAGGCAGCUGCUAGAUGGCUGAGAUCCACGAACCACCCUAGCUGGACGUACGCCGCCUCCUCUCUGGUCCCACAUGAUAUGGAACUUGUAGAUCCGGUGGAAGCAGGAACACUCCAACAUGAUGGCCGGGGAGCUAGCAGAUCCGGUGGGAGCGACGAAGCUGUUUUCUUCAUGUGCUUGGGCUGUCCUAGCCCAUGGGGCGAGAUGGAGCCGUUAGAGCUCGGGUUCCACUGCACCACACUCCGUCCUGCACAGAUCGAGGCGUGAAUCGAGGCCACUACACUAGAUCCGGAGGCGGAUGAGCUCACCUCGUCUUGAUAAAGCGACAUUCUGCUCGUAGGCGAGGAAAGGGCAAGGCGGGGAGAGGCAUGAAGGUGGCAUGCCGAGGAGAAGGCAUGGAGGCCGGGCUGUAACACCCUAAAAAUUGCUCCUUUGAAAAUAGAGCUAAAUUAAUUUAAUUUUUGCAUUUUUGUGCUCAUGAGAAUAUAGGAAAAAUAAUAUUUUUCUUUAAAAUAAAAUUUAUUAUAAGGCUUAGCAACAAUUGUGUGUAAAUCAUGCUGGUGCAUUUUAAUUUUGAGAUGAGUGAUUUUGACCAAAGUUUGAAAAUAUUUCAAACAGAUUUUAAAACGGAUUUAAAAUAGGUGUUGAAAUAAAAGAAGAAAAAAAAAAGAAAGCAAAGAAGACCUCACCUCCCUCCUGAGUCUCGGCCCGAACUGAGCCAAGGCCGGCCUAGCGCACCCCCUUCCCCUCUCCCCCUCGCCUCGGCCCAGUACGAGGCCCAAACCGCGCACACUCCCUCCCCUCCCUCCUUUCUGCUGCUGACAGUCGGGCCCCACCCCUUCUCUCGCUGCCACGUGGGACCCGUCGAGGCGGCGUCUUCCCCUUCCCUAUUCGUAACCGAGCAGGAUAACUCCUACCGAACCUGAUCCUAGGAAG
rnacentral:lncRNA from 1 species